CCCAGUCAGGCCUGAGGACUGGGAAGUGGAAAAAGGAGGUUCCAGACGCAGGGCAGGACGGACAGAAGAAAUAAAUUUGAUGGUAUGUCAACCCCGAUUGUUUGGUGAAGCCGCCUGCAGUACUGUUUCGAGAAACAUUCCAAAGUUACAUCCAAGCUCAGUGGGAAAGCAUGCUGAUUACUGAUGUCUGCCAUGGAUGCCAGAGAGUCGCAGCUGAUGAGCCACUUACCACCAGCCACGCUGGGGGACAGUGAUUAUCAAACCUUCUAAACUGAUCCAUAGAAAGAAAAACAUUUAACAUUGUGGUCUAGUGACCAUAGACAAAGAUAACUCUACAAGUACAUGUGUAUACACAUGUACAUAAUGUAAAAUUAAAACAAGCUUCACAAACCAUAUUUAUUACCUUUACUGAAUAUGAUAAACCCCCCCUCCAGAAGUCAGGCUAGAAAAGCUUGUGGAACCCUUCUCGGAAUAUUUUUAAACAGAUAAAGUACAUCAGAUUACAAAAGAAACCAAUUAUAAUAAAAUCCAGUUAUCAAAUAUUAAAUAAA
rnacentral:lncRNA from 1 species